GUAGUUAGCGUUCAAGAAUGAAUAUAUACUAAUGUUGCGGAUGUAUAAUUUGAAUUUUUACAAUGAUUGGGCUGCAAUAUACUACUAAAGUACUAUCUAUAUAUUAUUAUAUACAUUAGAGAAGUAUAAUGUUUUUGAUGUUACUAUGAGUGUAUAUCCACAACGGGCAGGCUGAAAUUGGAAAAGUUAGCCCGACCACGGUGGGAAUCGAACGCGCGACUUUUGCGAUACUAGUCCAAUACUCUGCCAACUGAGCUACGAGGCCAAGUAGUAAUGUAUUUUUGAACUCUCGUUUCAGCUCUUUAGCUCUGUUUAUUUAAGGCGUUGUCGUACUUCACGAGUCGGUUAUAUUCUCAGUCGAGCAAAUUUAAGGAUGUUCAUAAUUUAACUAACUUAUAGACUUAAUUGUCUAUAUAGGAAAAUGUUCAAACUGUAUGUUAAUUAAACUUGAUUUUAUGAAUUAACCUCAGAGUUUCCGAGAGGGGGGCAGGGGGAGGGGAAUUACCCCGGGCCCCUACCUUAGUAGGACCCCAACUUGAGAGCAAGAGCCUAAAAAUGAGUAGGUUCUUUAAAUUGGUCAGAGAAUUUUUGAAAUCGAAGGCCUCUUACAGUGCCUCCACAUGCAGUCUAUAGUUAAGGUUUAGUUGGGUCUGGCUUGAAAUAUGAUGUCAUGGGCCCCCAGGGAAGAUUUGCCCCCGGGCCCGCGAAUUCUCUCGGCGGCCCUGAUUAACCUAACUUAUAAUUAAGGAGAACUAACCGAAGUAAGCUUUUGAUGAUGUAAUAUUAUAAUUAUAAUUAACUAACCGCGCGAAAUAAACCCGUACAAUGAAUAAUUGACGGCAAAGCCCUUAACAUACGACUUGUAAGUUACAAAGUUUAUUUUUAAUUUUUUACCAUGCACUUACGUCAUUAUAAACAACAGAGCAUUUAGGGUCCAAAUCAAAGACUACGUAAUUUAAUUCUAUAAAAUAUAUAUCCAUCAUUGUCUGGUUCAGUCAUAUAAACUUUAUUGCGUUGCUGCGCAGCUACAAACAGGCUUUCAGAAAUAGACGGGUAUUCUGCUCUUUUAAUAUCUUCAGUAUAUAUUGCUUCGUCGCGUCGGAGUCAAAACUCUCUCAAUUCGACCUGCCGCAUGACAAGGAAUUGAUAAAUCCUUAAUAUUAUUUUCC